CUAUCAUAGGAUGAGUACAGAGAGAGGGAGUGAGGAGAGCACAGGAGGUUGGUGGCACCUUAUUUUGGGAGGACGGGCUCGUGGUAAUGGCUGGAGCGGAAUCGGUGGAAAGGUAUCAGGGUUUCCUCAACCCUUUUGUUAUGGCAAGCCUAACCAUUAUUAUGAGCCGUCCUCCCCUCAGCAGCCUCCACUGGAGGAGAGAGAGAGCUCCCAAAGUGACAUUCACAUUAAAGGUAAACACCCUCAUUCAUUCAGGUACAGACCAGACAUAACAGGAGUAAAAUAUGUUCACAUUCUACAGUAUAACUCAAGGGAGUGAUUGAUGAAUGUAUAAUUUUGGGAAUUUUUAUAAUUGGGACAUUGUCACACAGGUUGCUGCAAAAUAAAGAAAACACCAGCAUACACUGUAAAGUGUCUUAAUAGGGCGUUGGGCCACCACGAGCCACCAGAACAGCUUCAAGGAUGCCUUGGCAUAGAUUCUACAAGUGUCUGGAACUCUAUAGGAGGGCUGUGACACUAUUCUUCCACGAGAAAUUCCAUAAUUUGGUGUUUUGUUAAUGGUGGUGGAAAACGCAGCUCCAGACUCUCCCAUAAGUGUUGAAUUGGGUUAAGAUCUAUUGACUGACACACACACACACACACACACAGACACCGACACACACACACACACACACACAUACAUACAUACACACAUCAUGUAAACCCCCUAUGCUCCUUUGAGACCCCUCUUUCAAAGUCACUGAGAUUUCUUCUAACCAUGGUAGCCAAAAUAAUCACUGGGCACACUAAGCAUGUUGGGAUGUUAAUUGCUUAAUUAACUCAGAAACCACACCUGUGUGGAAGCACCUGCUUUCAAUAUACUUUGUAUCCCUCAUUUACUCAAGUGUUUCCUUUAUUUUGGCAGUUACCUAUAUAUUAUGUUGGAUUCUGUUAUAUCUAUUUCUACAUCCAGGGUGUUUAUAAAUACAGGGUAGUGCGUAGUGGUGAGCCUGUCCCUGGUCUGUAUUACAGCACCCCCUCCAACCUGCAGAACUCUCUGAUCUCCAUAAGCACUCUGACAAAAUUGCCUGCGUCUGCA
rnacentral:lncRNA from 1 species